GCUCAAGGCUUGAACUGGUGAUUGAACACCUGGUGAAGGGCUGUGGCUGCCCAGAGAGCACAGGCAAAUUGCACCUGUGCUCCCCAAGCUACUGAAAGGGGUGGAACCUGGGUGCAACCACCUUGGGCUCAUGUAAGGGCCAGCCAUGGAAGGGAGAGCGUCUCUUGAAGCUAGACUGCUUCUUGGGGAGCAGUGCUGCAUAGUCAGAGAUCCCCUUCUCCAGUUGAAUCUGCAGUGAAGUCUUGGACCUGCCUGGCUCUGUGAGACAUGACCAUGUGUGCAGUGCUACAGCAAUUCACCAACCUGAUGUCUUCGUGCUGGACAAAGUCUUCUUGGGACAACUUGGCUGGUGGGCACGGCUCCAAAACUGCCCCUGGGCCUUUGGUCUCUGAUGUUCCAGGUGCAAGCCUGCUGAGGUGUGAAGGCUUUGCAGCGAAGGCAGGAUCUGAGCAAAGCUUUGCUCAGCCUUUCCCCAGACUGAUGUGAGGAUGCUGGUGUGUACCCAUGUGUGAUGCUCUGGGGCCUUGUUUCAGCUGUGGAAAAGCCUGUGCCAUGCGGGUAUCACUGGAGGUGAAUAUUGAGGCAACCGAUGUCAGUGAUUCAAAGUAUCACCAGGGAGGCAAGGUGGGGAGAUGUGACACUAGACUAUUUGUACCCCAUAAUGUGCAAGCAAUUUAGCAAUUCUAGCAGGUUCCAGUUCCAGAGUAACUGAUGAUUAUUUUCAAUAUACGUUUCCAGAGUAUUUUCUUCCCCAAAUAUAAUUUGAGCAAAGAAUGCUUUCAGCACUACAAACUAAAUUGGUUGCAGCACUGUCAUGUUGGCUUUACGUAUUGCUGUUCCCAUUUCUGGUGGCUAGGACACUUGUGCUUUUGUUUUACAAUUAAUAUUUUGAUGAAACCUCGUAAGGUACCGUAGGCAUAAAUAUUUAAUACCUUCCUCUCCGUGUUUCUGUAUUGCUGAGCUUGGUGAUAAGUUAGUACUUCAGACUGAAAUGCAGAUAAAACAGUAAUGUGAGCAGUUUAAAUCCGCAUUUUUCCAAUGCUCCUCUGGUCAAGACGACUGUGUUGCAGCAGGAGUAUUGCUAUUUAAAAUUGUUUACCUCUACGCUUCAGCUGAAUGCUGCUGUAUGUGAUAAAUGAGGUAAAUAAAGGUGCCUUUCGGGUCCCAAUAACUGCACAAGAAACCUAAUCAUUCUCACUAACAUAAAAUAAUUUAACAAAUGGAACGGUGCCAUAGCAGCCUAAUAAGAAAUUUCUGAGUACUGCACCGCAUAUGGCCAAAGACUCUUCAGGCAUAAUUCACACUCCCCCCAGCUUUAUGGUAGGCUUGUGUUUUAUGUUUAAUGUGGAAUAAA